UACGUAGGGGGCAAGCGUUGUCCGGAAUUAUUGGGCGUAAAGAGUACGUAGGCGGUCUGUUAAGCGCAAGGUGAAAGGCAUAGGCUCAACCAAUGUGAGCCUUGCGAACUGGCAGACUUGAGUGCAGGAGAGGAAAGCGGAAUUCCUAGUGUAGCGGUGAAAUGCGUAGAUAUUAGGAGGAACACCGGUGGCGAAGGCGGCUUUCUGGACUGAAACUGACGCUGAGGUACGAAAGCGUGGGGAGCAAACAGG
rnacentral:rRNA from 1 species